rnacentral:rRNA from 1 species
GUCCUAGCCCUAAACGAUGCGCACUAGGUAGCGGCUCGUUCCGACGAGUCGCUGCCGGAGCAAAAGCAUUAAGUGCGCCGCCUGGGGAGUACGGCCGCAAGGCUAAAACUCAAAGGAAUUGACGGGGGCUCACACAAGCGGUGGAGGAUGUUGCUCAAUUCGAAGCAACGCGAAGAACCUUACCAGGACUUGACAUGCUCGUGGUAGGAGCCGGAAACGGUGACGAACUCCGCAAGGAGUAGCGAGCACAGGUGUUGCAUGGCUGUCGU